GGGCCUCUAGCUCAGUUGGUUAGAGCAGCGGACUCAUAAUCCGUCGGUCCCCGGUUCAAGUCCAGGGAGGCCCA
rnacentral:tRNA from 1 species